GAUGAACGCUGGCGGCGUGCCUAAUACAUGCAAGUCGAGCGAACAGACGAGGAGCUUGCUCCUCUGACGUUAGCGGCGGACGGGUGAGUAACACGUGGAUAACCUACCUAUAAGACUGGGAUAACUUCGGGAAACCGGAGCUAAUACCGGAUAACAUGUUGAACCGCAUGGUUCAACAGUGAAAGACGGUCUUUCUGUCACUUAUAGAUGGAUCCGCGCCGCAUUAGCUAGUUGGUAAGGUAACGGCUUACCAAGGCAACGAUGCGUAGCCGACCUGAGAGGGUGAUCGGCCACACUGGAACUGGGACACGGUCCAGACUCCUACGGGAGGCAGCAGUAGGGAAUCUUCCGCAAUGGGCGAAAGCCUGACGGAGCAACGCCGCGUGAGUGAAGAAGGUCUUCGGAUCGUAAAACUCUGUUAUUAGGGAAGAACAAAUGUGUAAGUAACUAUGCACGUCUUGACGGUACCUAAUCAGAAAGCCACGGCUAACUACGUG
rnacentral:rRNA from 1 species